rnacentral:rRNA from 1 species
GAAGUAGUGCCUAUGCGCUAUUUAGUGGCAAACGGGUGAGUAACACGUAGCUUAGCUGUCCUAAAGUGGGGGAUAGCCGCGGGAAGCCGCGGGUAAUACCGCAUGUGAUCUACGGAUUAAAGCUUAAUGCGCUUUAGGAGGUGGCUGCGGCCCAUCAGGUUGUUGGCGGGGUAAUGGCCCACCAAGCCUAUGACGGGUAUCCGGCCUGAGAGGGUGAUCGGACACAUUGGAACUGAGACACGGUCCAGACUCCUACGGGAGGCAGCAGCUAGGAAUUUUCCGCAAUGGACGAAAGUCUGACGGAGCAACGCCGCGUGAAGGAUGAAGGUCUUUAGGGAUUGUAAACUUCUUUUAUAUGAGACGAGUAAGGACGGUAUCAUAAGAAUAAGUCCCGGCUAACUACGUGCCAGCAGCCGCGGUAAUACGUAGGGGGCUAGCGUUGUUCGGAAUUACUGGGUAUAAAGGGUGCGCAGGCGGAUUUCUAAGCAAGAGGUGAAAUGUCAAGGCUCAACCAUGGCACUGCCUUUUGAACUGGUUAUCUGGAGUACAGAAGGGGAGAGCAGAAUUUCCGGUGUAGGGGUGGAAUCUAUAGAUAUCGGAAGGAAUACCGUUCGCGAAGGCGGCUCUCUGG